rnacentral:rRNA from 1 species
UACGGAGGGUGCGAGCGUUAUCCGGAAUCACUGGGUUUAAAGGGUACGUAGGCGGCUUUGUAAGUCAGAGGUGAAAUAUUGGGGCUUAACCUCGAUGCUGCCUUUGAUACUGCUUAGCUUGGGUAAUGAUGAGGCUGGCGGAAUGCGUCAUGUAGCGGUGAAAUGCUUAGAUAUGACGUGGAACACCGAUUGCGAAGGCAGCUGGCUGGGCAUUUACCGACGCUGAGGUACGAAAGCGCGGGUAGCGAACAGG